rnacentral:rRNA from 1 species
GGGUUGUGAGGUUAAGCGACUAAGCGUACACGGUGGAUGCCCUGGCAGUCAGAGGCGAUGAAGGACGUGCUAAUCUGCGAAAAGCGUCGGUAAGGUGAUAUGAACCGUUAUAACCGGCGAUGUCCGAAUGGGGAAACCCAGUGCAAUUCGUUGCACUAUCGUUAACUGAAUACAUAGGUUAACGAGGCGAACCGGGGGAACUGAAACAUCUAAGUACCCCGAGGAAAAGAAAUCAACCGAGAUUCCCCCAGUAGCGGCGAGCGAACGGGGAGCAGCCCAGAGUCUGAAUCAGCUUGUGUGUUAGUGGAACGGUCUGGAAAGUCCGACGGUACAGGGUGAUAGUCCCGUACACCAAAAUGCACAGGCUGUGAACUCGAAGAGUAGGGCGGGACACGUGGUAUCCUGUCUGAAUAUGGGGGGACCAUCCUCCAAGGCUAAAUACUCCUGACUGACCGAUAGUGAACCAGUACCGUGAGGGAAAGGCGAAAAGAACCCCGGCGAGGGGAGUGAAAAAGAACCUGAAACCGUGUACGUACAAGCAGUGGGAGCACCUUCGGGUGUGACUGCGUACCUUUUGUAUAAUGGGUCAGCGACUUAUAUUCUGUAGCAAGGUUAACCGUAUAGGGGAGCCGCAGGGAAACCGAGUCUUAACUGGGCGUUAAGUUGCAGGGUAUAGACCCGAAACCCGGUGAUCUAGCCAUGGGCAGGUUGAAGGUUGGGUAACACUAACUGGAGGACCGAACCGACUAAUGUUGAAAAAUUAGCGGAUGACUUGUGGCUGGGGGUGAAAGGCCAAUCAAACCGGGAGAUAGCUGGUUCUCCCCGAAAGCUAUUUAGGUAGCGCCUCGUGAACUCAUCUUCGGGGGUAGAGCACUGUUUCGGCUAGGGGGUCAUCCCGACUUACCAACCCGAUGCAAACUACGAAUACCGAAGAAUGUUAUCACGGGAGACACACGGCGGGUGCUAACGUCCGUCGUGAAGAGGGAAACAACCCAGACCGCCAGCUAAGGUCCCAAAGUCAUGGUUAAGUGGGAAACGAUGUGGGAAGGCACAGACAGCCAGGAUGUUGGCUUAGAAGCAGCCAUCAUUUAAAGAAAGCGUAAUAGCUCACUGGUCGAGUCGGCCUGCGCGGAAGAUGUAACGGGGCUAAACCAUGCACCGAAGCUGCGGCAGCGACACUAUGUGUUGUUGGGUAGGGGAGCGUUCUGUAAGCCUGCGAAGGUGACCUGUGAGGGUUGCUGGAGGUAUCAGAAGUGCGAAUGCUGACAUAAGUAACGAUAAAGCGGGUGAAAAGCCCGCUCGCCGGAAGACCAAGGGUUCCUGUCCAACGUUAAUCGGGGCAGGGUGAGUCGACCCCUAAGGCGAGGCCGAAAGGCGUAGUCGAUGGGAAACAGGUUAAUAUUCCUGUACUUGGUGUUACUGCGAAGGGGGGACGGAGAAGGCUAUGUUAGCCGGGCGACGGUUGUCCCGGUUUAAGCAUGUAGGCUGAUUGUCCAGGCAAAUCCGGAUAAUCAAGGCUGAGGUGUGAUGACGAGGCACUACGGUGCUGAAGUAACAAAUGCCCUGCUUCCAGGAAAAGCCUCUAAGCAUCAGGUAACAUUAAAUCGUACCCCAAACCGACACAGGUGGUCAGGUAGAGAAUACCAAGGCGCUUGAGAGAACUCGGGUGAAGGAACUAGGCAAAAUGGUGCCGUAACUUCGGGAGAAGGCACGCUGGUGUGUAGGUGAAGUCCCUGCGGAUGGAGCUGAGACCAGUCGAAGAUACCAGCUGGCUGCAACUGUUUAUUAAAAACACAGCACUGUGCAAACACGAAAGUGGACGUAUACGGUGUGACGCCUGCCCGGUGCCGGAAGGUUAAUUGAUGGGGUUAUCCGUAAGGAGAAGCUCUUGAUCGAAGCCCCGGUAAACGGCGGCCGUAACUAUAACGGUCCUAAGGUAGCGAAAUUCCUUGUCGGGUAAGUUCCGACCUGCACGAAUGGCGUAAUGAUGGCCAGGCUGUCUCCACCCGAGACUCAGUGAAAUUGAACUCGCUGUGAAGAUGCAGUGUACCCGCGGCAAGACGGAAAGACCCCGUGAACCUUUACUAUAGCUUGACACUGAACAUUGAGCCUUGAUGUGUAGGAUAGGUGGGAGGCUUUGAAGCGUGGACGCCAGUCUGCGUGGAGCCAACCUUGAAAUACCACCCUUUAAUGUUUGAUGUUCUAACGUUGGCCCCUGACCGGGGUUGCGGACAGUGUCUGGUGGGUAGUUUGACUGGGGCGGUCUCCUCCCAAAGCGUAACGGAGGAGCACGAAGGUUAGCUAAUCCUGGUCGGACAUCAGGAGGUUAGUGCAAUGGCAUAAGCUAGCUUGACUGCGAGCGUGACGGCGCGAGCAGGUGCGAAAGCAGGUCAUAGUGAUCCGGUGGUUCUGAAUGGAAGGGCCAUCGCUCAACGGAUAAAAGGUACUCCGGGGAUAACAGGCUGAUACCGCCCAAGAGUUCAUAUCGACGGCGGUGUUUGGCACCUCGAUGUCGGCUCAUCACAUCCUGGGGCUGAAGUAGGUCCCAAGGGUAUGGCUGUUCGCCAUUUAAAGUGGUACGCGAGCUGGGUUUAGAACGUCGUGAGACAGUUCGGUCCCUAUCUGCCGUGGGCGCUGGAGAAUUGAGGGGGGCUGCUCCUAGUACGAGAGGACCGGAGUGGACGCAUCACUGGUGUUCGGGUUGUCAUGCCAAUGGCACUGCCCGGUAGCUAAAUGCGGAAGAGAUAAGUGCUGAAAGCAUCUAAGCACGAAACUUGCCCCGAGAUGAGUUCUCCCUGAGACUUUAAGUCUCCUGAAGGAACGUU